rnacentral:rRNA from 1 species
CGAACCCUUAAUAGCUGCUGCACCCUUAGGAUGUCCUGAUCCAACAUCGAGGUCGUAAACCCCCUCGUCGAUAAGAGCUCUUGGAGGGGAUUGCGCUGUUAUCCCUAGGGUAACUAGGUCCAUUAAUCGGCGAAAGCCGGGUCUUAGUGGUCAGAAAUUCUGUUACUUUAACCUGUGGGUUUAUGUUUUAGGGCCGAGUGGCCCAGUCCAUGUGGGGGUUUUGUUUUUCCCCGUGGUCGCCCCAACCGAAGACAUACCGGCAAGGCCCAUUUUGUUCAUUUCCUUUAGGGGGUGUUUGACGUGGGUUGCUUUAUGUCUAAAGCUCCAUAGGGUCUUCUCGUCUUACGGUUUCAUCCCCGCUUCUGCACGGGGAGAUCAAUUUCAUUGACUUUAAAAGGGAGACAGUUAAGCUCUCGUGAUGCCAUUCAUACUCGUCUCUAAUUAAGAGACAAUUUAUUGCGCUACCUUUGCACGGUCAAAAUACCGCGGCCGUUUAAAUUUUUCACUGGGCAGGCGGGACCUCUUAUUUGUUUAUUUUGCAAGAGGCGAUGUUUUUGGUAAACAGGCGAAGCUUGUGUUUGCCGAGUUCCUUCCUUUUAAUUAAGUCUUUCCGAAAGAACACGCCUGUGUUGGGCCAACGAGUUGGUGUGUUGGGGUUUCUUGUUAUUUAGGUGAUAUUACAGUACCCUCAUUAGGGGCUCGUUAAUUAUCGGGGGUGGGUCCGUUCCGACUUACACACGUGUGGGGAGAGGGGUGUUUCCUCUUAUUACUCAUUUUAGCAGUGUCUUUCCCAGGGUUAAUGGGAGGGUCUAAUAGUGGAGGGGAGUGAAGAGGAGGGCUCGGUAUUGAGGGUUGGAUUUUAUGGGAGCUGUAACGCUUUCUUUUUAGGUGGCUGCUUUUAGGCCCACUAGAAUAAGACUCCUAAUAUAAUAUGAUCUUUUAUCUCCAAUUGAGGUUGUGUCCUUUUUCAAAGGGGCUGUACCCUCUUUGACUAACUCUCUUAAUUUCCGUUGAUCUGAGGGGGCGGGUGCCGUUGAUGGGGGAUUAUAGGAGGCUGAACUUAAAUUCACUUUUUAGACAACCAGCUAUUACUAGGCUCGAUAGGUUUAUCACCUCUACUUGAAAAUCUUCCCACUCUUUUGCAACAGAGAUGGGUGUGCCCUGCAGAUGUCUGAUAGGCUGUUUUGAAGUAGCUCGUCUAGUUUCGGGGUUUUGAACUAAAGUUCUCUUUGCUCAAGUGGUACUUGCUAAAUCAUGAUGCAAAAGGUA